GUGCUCACUUGGGCAGCACAUAUGAUAGAAUUGGAACAAUGCAGAGAAGAUUAGCAUGGCCCCUGUGCAAGGAUGACACACAGAUUCGUGAAGCUCCCACAUUUUUG
ensembl:snRNA U6 U6 spliceosomal RNA